UAAGAGGCCAUUAGCUUUCGUUGAAACAGAUAGCCAUCUGUUUUCUUGAGCUUAUCGUUUUCUGUGGAAACAUCCAACCUUCUUUCUUUCUAUCCAAUCAAGCUUUGGACGAAUGAGAGGUUUAAGAUCAAGAAGAAGAUUGAAAAUUAUAUAUGCAUGAUCUCAACGUAAGUGUCAAUCGCUUUCUGCUCCAUUUGUGCUGAAAAAGAAGAUGCUUUUUUAGAGGGCAUUUGGUUAUCUUAAACAGCUGUUUUUGUAUCAGAAUUUGAGUUAUGUGAUAAAAGAAUGUGAUGCAAACACAAGAAUAAUUGAAAGCACUAAGGUUAGAAUUAUAAGGUUGGGUUACUUUUCCUUUUUGGAGAAAGGAGGUACUGAAGGUUGUCUUUACAGAUUUGGGAGACAAGGCAUGGUUGAGGCCUUUGUGGGGACUCUCAUGAAAGCCACUCCUGUGGGGUUGCCAUCAACUUUCCCUGCCUCGGCAACCCUUUAAAAAAAUUCAAAAAAAGGAAAAAUGAAAAUCAUCGAACAGGUAAAAUUUGGUAUUUGCCCAAGUAGUAAAGAUAUGGGUGUCAGAAAAAUAACAAAGACAAGCUGCUGUCUCUCUCUCAUUUCUCAAGAGUGGAUCGCUAAUCCUGGUCUAAACAAGGAGUAUCAACUCUGGCCUGCAUAUCCUAAGUGGUUUGAUUUGAAAUGUGAGUUGAGAUUAUCAAAUUGUGUUUUAGUAUCCUUUCAGAGAGGAAUUUCUCUUUUUGAAUAAUGUUGAACAACUCAUGGGCAGAGUAGCCUCUAAACCACCGGUCUUAAGGCGCAAGUGAGUUGUCGAUGAAGUCUAUAUUGUGUCCCUUCCCCUAAUUUGAACGAAUCCCUUUGAUUGCAUUUUGAUUUGCCUUUGGGCUAUUAAAGGCUUCUACGAUUCGUUCUUCGGCCGAUUUUUCUUCUAUAUGGAUGUUGUCUUGUUAAUAGAGACCGCAAUUGUGUAUUUCAUCCAAAUCAGGCGACGGCCAGACCACUUCCAUUAUUCUGACUGGGCCUUGAGUAUAGGCAUUUUAUUUGCAACUCCAUCUUCGAAAAAUUAAAGUUGUGUAGGAGUUAGGGGUGUUUCGCCAAUGUAUAGGUAUCAGAAUUUGAAAAAGUAGAAAAAUUAUUCGUUAGACUUUUGAAAAAGUAGGGAUGCAGAAGUGAAUUCCACCGAAUUGCAAGACAAUUUCUUACCAAAUUUGUUGUCGGAAAACUUGUUUAGGCAUGAGGUUACAGUCUCUUAUGUGCCUGUUUGCUUCCAAUUUGUCCCUCACACAGGACAAGUUCUUAGAAAGAUGGGAGUUGAUAGAGCCUAAUCAUGAUUAUUAAAAUAAUAUUACCUUGAGCUUGUUAUUUCACCUAA